rnacentral:rRNA from 1 species
UCAGCCGGUACUCGCGAAUGCUCUAGAUUAGAGUUUGAUCCUGGCUCAGGCUGGAACACCUCCUUAGAGUUUGAUCAUGGCUCAGGCUGGAUCACCUCCUUAGAGUUUGAUCAUGGCUCAGGUUGGAUCACCUCCUUAGAGUUUGAUCCUGGCUCAGGUUGGAACACCUCCUUAGAGUUUGAUCAUGGCUCAGGCUGGAACACCUCCUUANAGUUUGAUCAUGGCUCAAGCUGGAUCACCUCCUUAGAGUUUGAUCAUGGCUCAGAUUGAACGCUGGCGGCAGGCCUAACACAUGCAAGUCGAACGGUCGGAAGCAGUUGCUGCUUUGCUGACGAUGGGGAGGGUGAUUGUUGGAUUGCUUGAUGGGAACGGGGGAUAACAUNACUGGGAACACCNGUAGCUUAAUACCGCAUAAC